AGGAAAUGAACCACAGGCUCCAGCAUCCUCCAGAGCGAAGGGAUGACAGGACUGAGGGCUUAAGGUGCAGGCUGCGAUCAGACAGGAUCCAAGUCCUGGACCUAUACUCACCAGCUUAUGUGACUUUUCUGGGGAGAGGAAACUCAGGCUGGCGGCAGAUCAAGAAGGCAGAGUCAGAAGACAUGAAGCUCAUCUCCUCCCACAAACACAACGAAGAUAAAUGUACAUGUGGAACAAUUCUCACAGAAAACCAACUGGAAACAGGCUGAGGGAGGCAAAGUCACUUGCCUCGUCUCACAGUGUAUCUGGCUGAGAUGCUGCUACGGAACAUUACUCUUGACCAUUGCAACACUGCACCGCUCCUCUCUUUAAUGUCCUUGAGCAUGCGGUUUCAUCCCUGAUUCAUCACCCCUCUUCCUGGUCAUGUGCCAAGAGCUUCACUGGGGCCGGGACUACAUUUUGUUCAUCUCAUUCCAUCCUCCUCACAACGCUGUGAGGUGGGUACCAUUAUUACCAUUUUACCCAUAGAGGCAAGAGUUCAAAUAAACUAGAAGUACCUAAUAUAUACAUAAAAAGACUAGAUAUUAAUAAAAAGUAUACAAAAGGGAGAAC